GGGUUGUGAGGUUAAGCGACUAAGCGUACACGGUGGAUGCCCUGGCAGUCAGAGGCGAUGAAGGACGUGCUAAUCUGCGAAAAGCGUCGGUAAGGUGAUAUGAACCGUUAUAACCGGCGAUGUCCGAAUGGGGAAACCCAGUGUGAUUCGUCACACUAUCGUUAACUGAAUACAUAGGUUAACGAGGCGAACCGGGGGAACUGAAACAUCUAAGUACCCCGAGGAAAAGAAAUCAACCGAGAUUCCCCCAGUAGCGGCGAGCGAACGGGGAGCAGCCCAGAGUCUGAAUCAGCUUGUGUGUUAGUGGAACGGUCUGGAAAGUCCGACGGUACAGGGUGAUAGUCCCGUACACCAAAAUGCACAGGCUGUGAACUCGAAGAGUAGGGCGGGACACGUGGUAUCCUGUCUGAAUAUGGGGGGACCAUCCUCCAAGGCUAAAUA
rnacentral:rRNA from 1 species